GCAUAACACACCAAUCUCUCCAAAGGCAUCUCCAACAACUGCCUUGCCUUGAACCUACAUACAUGAAUACAGUAAAAUCCUGCACAAUCACCAAAGGAGCGAGUAACUAUGUCAGAAGGUCUGUAGGAGCUUCGUUCUGUAGUAUUACAUCUUCUCUUGGUGGGAAAUACUCGGCAUCUAUAUCUGAAACCUUGGUCGGACAAGGAAGUUGCGAGAAACUCCAUGAAAGAGGUAGACGUUCUGAACGAUUGGGAAGAAGAGAUAGUUUGCAAUGCUUGAUCGAA